GACGAACGCUGGCGGCGUGCUUAACACAUGCAAGUCGAACGGAAAGGCCUCUUUCGGGGGGUACCCGAGUGGCGAACGGGUGAGUAACUCGUGAGUAAGGUGCCCUUCACUUUGGGAUAACUUCCGGAAACUGGGGCUAAUUCCGGCUAGGUGCUCCUGCUACAUGGUGGGGGUUGGAAUGAUUCGGCGGUUGGGGUUGGUUUAGGGGCAUAUCGGGUUGUUUGGGGGGGAGUGGCUUACCAAGGCUUUGACGGGUAGUCGGCCUGAGCCGGUGAACGGCGACAAUGGGACUGAGAGACGGCGCAGACGCCUACGGGAGGCAGCAGUGGGGAAUAUGGCAGAAUGGGUGGGAGCCUGUGGCAGAAGCUCCGGGUGCGGGAUGACGGGCUGGGGGUUGUAAACCUUUGUCGCUCAUGACGAAGCUUUGUGUGACGGUAGUGGGUAAAGAAGCACCGGCUAACUACGUG
rnacentral:rRNA from 1 species